UACAGAGGAUGCAAGCGUUAUCCGGAAUGAUUGGGCGUAAAGCGUCUGUAGGUGGCUUUUUAAGUCCGCCGUCAAAUCCCAGGGCUCAACUCUGGACAGGCGGUGGAAACUACCAAGCUGGAGUACGGUAGGGGCAGAGGGAAUUUCCAGUGGAGCGGUGGAAUGCGUAGAUAUUGGAAAGACCACCAGUGGCGAAGGCACUCUACUGGGCCAUUACUGACACUGAGAGACGAAAGCUAGGGGAGCGAAUGGG
rnacentral:rRNA from 1 species